AUUGAACGCUGGCGGCAUGCCUAACACAUGCAAGUCGAACGGUAACAGGAAACAGCUUGCUGUUUCGCUGACGAGUGGCGGACGGGUGAGUAAUGUCUGGGAAACUGCCUGAUGGAGGGGGAUAACUACUGGAAACGGUAGCUAAUACCGCAUAACUUCGCAAGACCAAAGAGGGGGACCCUCGGGCCUCUUGCCAUCGUAUGUGCCCAGAUGGGAUUAGCUUGUUGGUGGGGUAACGGCUCACCAAGGCGACGAUCCCUAGCUGGUCUGAGAGGAUGACCAGCCACACUGGAACUGAGACACGGUCCAGACUCCUACGGGAGGCAGCAGUGGGGAAUAUUGCACAAUGGGCGCAAGCCUGAUGCAGCCAUGCCGCGUGUAUGAAGAAGGCCUUCGGGUUGUAAAGUACUUUCAGCGGGGAGGAAGGGAGUAAAGUUAAUACCUUUGCUCAUUGACGUUACCCGCAGAAGAAGCACCGGCUAACUCCGUG
rnacentral:rRNA from 1 species